UAUUUCAAAAAUAAAAAAAUAAAAAUAAGAAAUAAAUUAUUUAUAAAUAAUUCUAUGUCGAUCGUUACACGACUUCGGUUCAUGUUAUUGUUUUAAUUCAUCGAAAAAAAGUAAAUAAAUAGUAAAAAGGUAUGAAAAAAAUAAUAUCAAUAUAAUUAAACUUUUAGUACAAAGAAAAUGCCCGAACGGAGUAUAAAUAAAUAAUCCAAGUUGUCUUUAUCCUCGAUAGAUGGCGUUGGGAUCGAAAUAGAUCGCGCUAUGGUUUCGUUACAUUCAUUUGGUUGGGUAUCGGCCGAGCGAUUCGGUACUAUCGUAGAAAAAGUGUAUUAUCAGUCGUAUGAUUAUUUGUCUGUAGUGGUCCUGCUGUUUCGUAUAUUCUAAAUUGGUUUCGUUGUAUUUGUCAAUUAAUAAGUUUAUUUGUUGGGUUUUCCUGGUUUUUUGGUUAAACUAUUUAACGUAGGUUUAGUUUGAUAUCGAUUAUUAGUAGUUACUGUAGUUAGUUUUUUUAAUAAAAUUGUAAGUCUAAUUUUUUUUUUAAUUAGAUUAGAUUUAAGUCGUUUCUUUUAAAUUAUUUAGUUUAAGCUUGGUUAUUAUAGCAUAGAGGAUAGGUUGUAAUAUAGUUUCUUUUUUAAUUGUUAUAAAUUCGUAAUUCGUAGCUUUCUUUAGUUUUAAGUUAGUUUAAGUCCGUUUUUAAACUAUUUUUUCAAUGCCCUAAGUGAGUAUACAUCUAUUAAAUUCAAACGCAGAGCUCAUUAUGUUGAUUUUUGAAGAGUUCCCUGGAAUAUCUUCCACAUCUCAUUUUUGAAGAGAUCCCGCGAGAUCGGGAACUAUGUGGUUAAAACCAAAAAUUUGCCGGAAGUCACUAUUCCACGCGAACGAAGUCGCGGGCAAAAGCUAGUGAC